UACGUAGGGUGCAAGCGUUGUCCGGAAUUAUUGGGCGUAAAGAGCUCGUAGGCGGUUUGUCGCGUCUGCUGUGAAAACUCGGGGCUUAACUCCGGGCCUGCAGUGGGCACGGGCAGACUAGAGUGCGGUAGGGGAGACUGGAAUUCCUGGUGUAGCGGUGAAAUGCGCAGAUAUCAGGAGGAACACCGGUGGCGAAGGCGGGUCUCUGGGCCGUAACUGACGCUGAGGAGCGAAAGCGUGGGGAGCGAACAGG
rnacentral:rRNA from 1 species